GGGGAAUUUUGGACAAUGGGCGAAAGCCUGAUCCGGCCAUUCCGCGUGCAGGAUGAAGGCCCUCGGGUUGUAAACUGCUUUUGUACAGAACGAAAAAGCUCUGGUUAAUACCUGGAGUCCAUGACGGUACUGUAAGAAUAAGCACCGGCUAACUACGUGCCAGCAGCCGCGGUAAUACGUAGGGUGCAAGCGUUAAUCGGAAUUACUGGGCGUAAAGCGUGCGCAGGCGGUGAUGUAAGACAGUUGUGAAAUCCCCGGGCUCAACCUGGGAACUGCAUCUGUGACUGCAUCGCUGGAGUGCGGCAGUGGGGGAUGGAAUUCCGCGUGUAGCAGUGAAAUGCGUAGAUAUGCGGAGGAACACCGAUGGCGAAGGCAAUCCCCUGGGCCUGCACUGACGCUCAUGCACGAAAGCGUGGGGAGCAAAC
rnacentral:rRNA from 1 species